GUACACUCCUGCGGGAGGCAGCAGUAGGGAAUCUUCGGCAAUGGGGGCAACCCUGACCGAGCAACGCCGCGUGAGUGAAGAAGGUUUUCGGAUCGUAAAGCUCUGUUGUAAGUCAAGAACGAGUGUGAGAGUGGAAAGUUCACACUGUGACGGUAGCUUACCAGAAAGGGACGGCUAACUACGUGCCAGCAGCCGCGGUAAUACGUAGGUCCCGAGCGUUGUCCGGAUUUAUUGGGCGUAAAGCGAGCGCAGGCGGUUUGAUAAGUCUGAAGUUAAAGGCUGUGGCUCAACCAUAGUUCGCUUUGGAAACUGUCAAACUUGAGUGCAGAAGGGGAGAGUGGAAUUCCAUGUGUAGCGGUGAAAUGCGUAGAUAUAUGGAGGAACACCGGUGGCGAAAGCGGCUCUCUGGUCUGUAACUGACGCUGAGGCUCGAAAGCGUGGGGAGCGAACAGGAUUAGAAACCCCGGUAGUCCCAU
rnacentral:rRNA from 1 species